AGUGAAUAGAUACCCCGGUAGUCCACGCUGUAAACGAUGGGCACUAGGUGUCGCGGGUAUUGACCCCUGCGGUGCCGCAGCUAACGCAUUAAGUGCCCCGCCUGGGGACUACGGCCGCAAGGUUAAAACUCAAAGGAAUUGACGGGGGCCCGCACAAGCGGUGGAGCAUGUGGUUCAAUUCGACGCAACGCGAAGAACCUUACCCGGGCUAGACAACAGAGGACCGUCUUAGAAAUAGGACCUUCCCUUCGGGGACCUCUGGUUCAGGUGCUGCAUGGCUAUCGUCAGCUCGUGUCGUGAGAUGUUGGGUUAAGUCCCGCAACGAGCGCAACCCUUGCCUCUAGUUGCCAUCAUUUAGUUGGGCACUCUAGAGGGACUGCCCGUGUCAAACGGGAGGAAGGCGGGGAUGACGUCAAGUCCUCAUGGCCCUUAUGUCCGGGGCUACACACGUGCUACAAUGGGCGGUACAAAGGGUCGCAGACCCGCGAGGGGGAGCCAAUCCCAAAAAGCCGCUCUCAGUUCGGAUUGGAGUCUGCAACUCGACUCCAUGAA
rnacentral:rRNA from 1 species